GUCAAAUUUUAACGUUGGACUAACUGGAAACUUUUUGAAAAGGCAAAACGUCUGCUGUUCCUAUCUCAUUCUGUUUCACCCAGUAUAUUUGGUAUGUUUUGUCAUCCACAACCAAAAUGCCGGGCACUGGAGCAGCCUCAAUGCGAUCAUCUUCCCGCACGGCGUGGAAACCAGAAUUGGAAGUCUUGAGCUAGUACAUAGAGGAUUCAAGAGGUACUAGAAAGAACUCCCAUGUCAACCAAAUGAAGGCCAUGACCAUUACGCAGCAGUAGUUUGACGUGGGUUGGACAGAAAUCCGGUCAAAAUUUAAAACUUCACAAGGAAGUACAAGAAAAGGCCUCUGUUUCUUUUAGAAUUGCAGAACAUCCUUCCGCCAGAGGAGGACCCUAUAGAGUUGGACACAGAAGAGGUAACCAUCCAAGAGCCGUCAACUGUAAAACCAACGAGCAAACGUGCAAAAAAGUACCACCAUGAGUUGAGGAACGAAAUUCAAAGGGAGAAGCAGCAGCAGACACUAGAGCAUCAGUGCAAAACCAAGGACAAUUUUGGA